GCAGUCCCAGGAGUUCGUCACGAACUGGCUGACGGCGGAUGCCGCGAGUAGGAGGACGAGGACGAGCCGACGAGGAUACGGCGGAUGGCGGCGGCGGGGAUCCGGUGGGUGGCGGCGGAGAUUCGUCGAGGGAGCGCCCGGACGGCGAUUUGUGGCGGCGUAAGGCGGCGUCGAUGGCGGAUCUAGCGGCAGGCGAGUUGGGGUAGCGCAGGGAACGGCGACAAGGAUUGCGGGGUCUGCAACCCGGGAAGGUUGGACUACGGGCGGCGGAUAGGAGGAGGUGGGUGCGGACGGAGUUUCUUGACCACGGGCGACGGUGAGGUAGGUGGAUCUAGCGGCGUCGGGGACAGGGGAGGUAGGUUUGGGAGGCGGCGGGGUUGAGGGUCAAGGCGGGUCUGGCGCGCGGGGGGAGGCGGGGUCUGGCGUGCGGUGGGGGUGGGUGCGGGGGUAGGACGGGUCCGGAACCGGUUUUAGUCGGUUUUAGGGGGGUCAGCGUCUAAAAGAUUUGGACCUUCUAAAAAGAUUUUAAUCACUUUUUAGGAGGAGUGUUUGGCACUUUAGUCAUAUUUUAGUCACUUUUUAGGAGCUAAAGUUUUAGGAGGGUGGAAACAAACAGGCCCUUAGUCAAUCUGGGUUUUAGAUUUCUGAAAAAGAAACAAAAUUAGCUUACGAUGCAUGAUGGCCGAUUUUGAAAAAAAAAGAUAUUUUUGGCCGAAAUCAUUCACGUGUUUAUAAAUUUUAAAGCACCGUUUGCAUACAAAAUGGAAAAAAUAGUAAAUUAAUCAGUUCACAUUAGUUUGUUGCAACUGUUAAACUAUGUUUCAUGAAUAGUUGAGAGGCCUACCAUUGGGAAGGGUAUGGACAAACCCACUCUUGCUCACACCCAAAUCGAAAUAAUUAUUACUAGCAGAAGUGCUCGUGCGUUGCAUGGAAGGAAGAAAAUCAUUGCGCGCUCCAAAGCACAAGGCAUACGCCACCAAAUAUGUUCCAAAACACAAGGCAUACGCCACCAAAUAUGCACGCAUCAAAUGAGGCUGGGCUCAAAAGCAGGCCGGACUUUGUUGUUGCUUGCACAAUGCAGAUGUACGUAUAGCCAUGGGCCUUGUCCAGCGGACAUUGCUUGUACGAGUCUUUCUUUGUUGUUGCCGUCCGACCGCAUGCACACAACAACGUGCACAUAGUGAUCAGCCCUGCCGGCACAGGCUCAGCCUUGCAGGCCCACCAACGACGCCGGAGCUCAUAGCUCUGUCUGCUUCAUACGCCGUGCAUCGAUCGCUGGGGAGGAGAGUGUGGGGCCAGGCUGGCAGCUUCACGGCACGUGAAAGCUCUCCUGUCCGGCCAUCCGCUGAGCCUUAUCUUCUCACCGCUCAUUCUGUCCAUGAGACUAAACUUAAGGUUGAUCUUAUUGAGUAUGUUGAAAAGCAUGAGUUUGUAUUUGAUGUUGUGUUAGAUGAAGAUGUUUCAAAUGAUGAGGUGGGCACAAAUUGCAUAACCUUUUUCAUCAAUGUUUAAAGUACUGUAAAUUCAUUCCCAGACACUGUCUUCCUUCAAUUUUCAAUUUACAGGUUUAUCGCGAAACAGUAGAACCUGUUGUUCCAACAAUUUUCAAUAGAACAAAAAAAACUAGUUUUACUUAUGGAUAAACGGGUAGUGGAAAGACCUACACCAUGAGGCCCCUUCCUCUUAAGGCCUCUCAAGAUAUCCUGAGAUUAAUGCACCAUGCAUACGGCAACCAAGGGUUUCAAUUAUUUGUCAGCUUCUUUGAGAUAUACGGUGGCAAAUUAUUUGACUUACGUAAUGAUAGGAGGUGAGUUGCCACAGAAUUUGUGAUGUUCAGGAAUGGUGUGUAUCCCUGAGUCUGCUAUUUCUCACAUUCUAAAUAUCUAUUGCUUAAUGCAGUAAACUUUGCACAGAAUUUGUGAUGUUCAGGAAUGGUGUGUAUCCCUAGGUCUGCUAG